GGGGACAUAGCUCAGUUGGUAGAGUGCCUCUCAUGCAUAAGGCCCUGGGUUCAAUCCCCAGUACCACCA
rnacentral:tRNA from 1 species